rnacentral:rRNA from 1 species
UACGAAGGGGGCUAGCGUUGCUCGGAAUCACUGGGCGUAAAGCGCGCGCAGGCGGUCUUCCAAGUCAGUGGUGAAAGCCUGGAGCUCAACUCCAGAACUGCCAUUGAAACUGUUGGACUUGAGUACGAGAGAGGUGAGUGGAAUUCCCAGUGUAGAGGUGAAAUUCGUAGAUAUUGGGAAGAACACCAGUGGCGAAGGCGGCUCACUGGCUCGUAACUGACGCUCAGGCGCGACAGCGUGGGGAUCAAACAGG